rnacentral:rRNA from 1 species
AGCAGCCGCGGUAAUUCCAGCUCCAAUAGCGUAUAUUAAAGUUGUUGCAGUUAAAAAGCUCGUAGUUGAAUUUCGGGAUUAGUAGUCUGGUCGUGCCAUUGGUAUGUACUGGUCUUACUGAUUUCUCCUUCUUGAAGAACCGUAAUGUCAUUAAUUUGGUGUUGCGGGGAAUCUGGACUGUUACUUUGAAAAAAUUAGAGUGUUUAAAGCAGGCUAACGCUUGAAUACAUUAGCAUGGAAUAAUGAAAUAGGACGUUCGAUCCUAUUUUGUUGGUUUCUAGGAUUGACGUAAUGAUUAAUAGGGAUAGUUGGGGGCAUUAGUAUUCAAUUGUCAGAGGUGAAAUUCUUGGAUUUAUUGAAGACUAACUACUGCGAAAGCAUUUGCCAAGGAUGUUUUCAUUAAUCAAGAACGAAAGUUAGGGGAUCGAAGACGAUCAGAUACCGUCGUAGUCUUAACCAUAAACUAUGCCGACUAGGGAUCGGAUGAUGUUAAUUUUAUAAUGACUCAUUCGGCGCCUUA